rnacentral:rRNA from 1 species
UUUGGGUGUGCGGUGUCAAAGCCGUGCACUCUUAACGGUCGGACAAGUCCGUCGGAGUGUGGUUAUUGUUGGAAGGGCAACCGACCAAUGAGGCCACCGUAAUCGUUCGGGGUGCCUUUAAUCGGGUGUCUCGGGCGGCCGACAUAGUUUACUUUGAACAAAUUAGAGUGCUCAAAGCAGGUGACUACCGCCUGAAUAGUACAGCAUGGAAUGAUGAAAGAGGACCUCGGUCUGAUUUUGCUGGUCUUUAACGGUCGGGCUUCGGCCCGGCCUAUGCAGACCCGAGGUAAUGGUCAAUAGAGACGGACGGGGGCAUCCGUACUGCGGCGACAGAGGUAAAAUUCUUGGACCGCCGCAAGACGAACGACAGCGAAGGCAUUUGCCAAGAAUGUUUUCCUUGAUCAAGAACGAAAGUUAGAGGUUCGAAGGCGAUCAGAUACCGCCCUAGUUCUAACCAUAAACGAUGCCAACUAGCGAUCCGCCGGUGUUACUCCCAUGACUCGGCGGGCAGCUUCCGGGAAACCAAAGUCUUUGGGUUCCGGGGGAAGUAUGGUUGCAAAGCUGAAACUUAAAGGAAUUGACGGAAGGGCACCACCAGGAGUGGGGCCUGCGGCUUAAUUUGACCCAACACGGGAAACCUCACCAGGCCCGGACACUGGAAGGAUUGACAGAUUGAGAGCUCUUUCUUGAUUCGGUGGGUGGUGGUGCAUGGCCGUUCUUAGUUGGUGGAGCGAUUUGUCUGGUUAAUUCCGAUAACGAACGAGACUCUAGCCUGCUAAAUAGGUGCCGGGUUUUUACAUCUCCUCGCAAGGGGAGAGUGGAGUGUGUGGUUGUCGGGAUCCUGGGCUGUGGUGGUCGUUUAGGCUGCGGGGGGCAACUCUCGAGAAAGGGCGCUUUUAUUAGAUCAAAACCAGUCGAGAGCUUCGGCUCUCGUUAAGUUUGGUGACUCUGGAUAACUUCACGCUGAUCGCACGGUCUUCGCACCGGCGACGAUUCUUUCAAAUGUCUGCCUUAUCAACUGUCGAUGGUAGGUUAUGCGCCUACCAUGGUUGCAACGGGUAACGGGGAAUCGGGGUUCGAUUCCGGAGAGGGAGCCUGAGAAACGGCUACCACAUCCAAGGAAGGCAGCAGGCGCGCAAAUUACCCACUCCCGGCACGGGGAGGUAGUGACGAAAAAUAACGAUACGGGACUCUUCCGAGGCCCCGUGA